CCGCUGAAAGAUGGGCUCGCGUCCGAUUAGGUAGUUGGUGGGGUAACGGCCCACCAAGCCGACGAUCGGUAGCCGGACUGAGAGGUUGGACGGCCACAUUGGGACUGAGACACGGCCCAGACUCCUACGGGAGGCAGCAGUAAGGGAUAUUGGUCAAUGGGGGAAACCCUGAACCAGCAACGCCGCGUGAGGGAAGACGGUUUUCGGAUUGUAAACCUCUGUCCUCUGUGAAGAUGAUGACGGUAGCAGAGGAGGAAGCUCCGGCUAACUACGUGCCAGCAGCCGCGGUAAUACGUAGGGAGCGAGCGUUGUCCGGAUUUACUGGGUGUAAAGGGUGCGUAGGCGGCUUGGCAAGUCAGUAGUGAAAUCCAUGGGCUUAACCCAUGAACUGCUAUUGAAACUGUCGAGCUUGAGUGAAGUAGAGGUAGGCGGAAUUCCCGGUGUAGCGGUGAAAUGCGUAGAGAUCGGGAGGAACACCAGUGGCGAAGGCGGCCUACUGGGCUUUAACUGACGCUGAGGCACGAAAGCGUGGGUAGCAAACAGGAUUAGAUACCCUGGUAGUCCACGCUGUAAACGAUGAUUACUAGGUGUGGG
rnacentral:rRNA from 1 species